UUAAGUAAAUUAAUUUUACCUAAGACUCAGGUGAUAGUUGUUAAUUCAGCUAUCUUAAUAUCCUGCCGAGGCAAAGCAAUUCGUGAUGAAUGACUUUGAACCCGUUGUCUUAGGACAACGGGAUUUUUUUGGGUAAA
rfam:Lactobacillus rossiae DSM 15814 Scaffold3, whole genome shotgun sequence.